AACUUUUUUCCCAGACUGGCCUCGAAGCACGAUAAUUCUGAUUUCUGACACCUAAGCAACAAGGAUUAUAGGAAUGAGCCACUGCACCAGCCCUUAGGAUACAUUUUCUUAGAGACCCAAAACCGUCACCCUGCAAUAACUUGUCAAGAUUCCUUACUUUAGCAAAUAUCCUUAUGGAAAUAAAAAUGUUUUAUAUUGAGACUUUUUUAAAAUGUGUGCUUUGACAGAAUGGAAUCUCUAGUAAGAAUCAUUUCACUUAACAUUUCCAAUAAGCCUGGAGAAUUACAAGAUACUGUCUUCAUUUUCUGAAUUUGGAAAGUAAGGAGCAGAAAGAUUAAUCACUUGUUCCUAUCACACAGCUUAAAACUGAAAGUCUCAAGAUGCCACUUUUGAAGAGAAUAGUAUAUGAGAGACUUUCCCAACAUUCUUGAAGAACACAUGGAAAGAUUCAUAAGUACAUAGAAAUACACAGUUUGGGAGAGGUGAAACGGAGAAAUGAACACAG